CUGCUUCGGCAGCACAUAUACUAAAAUUGGAACAAUACAGAGAAGAUUAACAUGGCCACCGCGC
rnacentral:snRNA from 1 species